AUUGAACGCUGGCGGCAGGCCUAACACAUGCAAGUCGAGCGAGCGGCGGACGGGUGAGUAAUGUCUGGGAACCUGCCUGAUGGAGGGGGAUAACUACUGGAAACGGUAGCUAAUACCGCAUACCAUCAGAUGUGCCCAGAUGGGAUUAGCUAGUAGGUGGGGUAAUGGCCCACCUAGGCGACGAUCCCUAGCGGGUCUGAGAGGAUGACCAGCAACACUGGAACGGAGACACGGUCCAGACUCCUAGGGGAGGAAGCAGUGGGGAAUAUGGGACAAUGGGCGAAAGCCUGAUGGAGCCAUGCCGCGUGUGUGAAGAAGGCCUUCGGGUUGUAAAGCACUUUCAGCGGGGAGGCGUUACCCGCAGAAGAAGCACCGGCUAACUCCGUGCCAGCAGCCGCGGUAAUUC
rnacentral:rRNA from 1 species